rnacentral:rRNA from 1 species
UGAGGAAUAUUGGUCAAUGAGCGAGAGCUUGAACCAGCCACGUCGCGUGCAGGAAGAAUGUCUUAUGGAUUGUAAACUGCUUUUUCGGUAGAGUAACGUGCGUCACGUGUGGCGUAUUGCAAGUAUACCGAGAAUAAGGAUCGGCUAACUCCGUGCCAGCAGCCGCGGUAAUACGGAGGAUCCGAGCGUUAUCCGGAUUUAUUGGGUUUAAAGGGUACGUAGGCGGGAUGAUAAGUCAGCGGUGAAAUUUUGCAGCUUAACUGUAAGCUUGCCGUUGAAACUAUUAUUCUUGAGUGUAGAUAAGGUAGGCGGAAUGUGUUGUGUAGCGGUGAAAUGCUUAGAUAUAACACAGAACACCAAUUGCGAAGGCAGCUUACCGGGUUACCACUGACGCUGAGGUACGACAGCGUGGGGAUCAAACAGG